UCGAAGUCCAGGGGCCGCGCCAGGUACAAGCGCCCUGAGGCCGCAUCCAGCGCGAAGGUGCCCUCGGGAUCGGCACCGCCCACCAGUGUGUAGGUAGCGUGUACAAGAUGGUCCCAUUCUCCCCCUCAUCUGGAUCCUUCGCCUGCAGAGUCGUCACCAGUGUUCCCGGAGGCACGCGGUCUGGUACCUGUGGGAACACAACUCACCUAGAAUGCUAGUAUUGAUUUUGGAGUUACAAAUAAAUUUUCGAGAUUAAGUGAAUUCACAAAUAAUGAGGACCAACUGUACUUAGAAAGAAGAAAGGGCUGUGACCUCAAAUUCCAGGUGGGUCCAGGAAGUUAAUACCCUCACCAAGUCUCAUAAUCACCCCAAACCAAGAACUCACCGACAGUGGAAUUAUUGAGACUGAUUUAUAGGUUUGAUCUUUAUUGAGUUUGAUUAUUACAGAGUGGGAUCUGAUUAAUACUGGGAUCUGAUCACUAUAGGGGGCAGCCGCCGUCGGUCCGCGCGCCCUUGGCCGUCGAUCGGUCUCUUUAUCCCAAAUUUGAGGGUAGAGAUCGGGAGAUAUUGGAAAGAAGAGCUUUGGGGAUGGUGGUCCCACUCACGAUAUACUCCCUAGAAAAAUUAAGACUGCGAGUAGACUGUGAGAAAAACAGGUUUUCUGGACUUGAGAUGUGUACAAAUGGCACAAAGAAAUCAGGAACUUCUGUGGAGAAGGAACACAGUUUCAGCUGAAGAAGAAGGGAGUGUGAUUUUGGAAGAGGAGUGAGGGAGAGACUGGGGUCCUUGAUCAUAUCCACGGCGCUUGGGCAGCUGGGUGGAUGGAUGGUGGUGAGGCUGGCUGUGCUCC
rnacentral:lncRNA from 1 species